UGGAUCAAAGCCAAUCGGUUAGGGUGUUUAGCUGUUAACUAAGUUUUUGUGGGUUCGAAUCCCAUUGAUCUAG
ensembl:Mt_tRNA